AACGAACGCUGGCGGCAGGCCUAACACAUGCAAGUCGAACGCCCGUAGCAAUACGGGAGUGGCAGACGGGUGAGUAACGCGUGGGAACGUGCCCUUCGGUUCGGAAUAACUCAGGGAAACGUUGAGCUAAUACCGGAUACGUCCGUAAGGAGAAAGAUUUAUCGCCGAAGGAUCGGCCCGCGUCGGAUUAGCUAGUUGGUGAGGUAACGGCCCACCAAGGCGACGAUCCGUAGCUGGUCUGAGAGGAUGAUCAGCCACACUGGGACUGANACACGGCCCAGACUCCUACGGGAGGCAGCAGUGGGGAAUAUUGGACAAUGGGCGAAAGCCUGAUCCAGCCAUGCCGCGUGAGUG
rnacentral:rRNA from 1 species